GAAAUGCGAUAAGUAAUGUGAAUUGCAGAAUUCAGUGAAUCAUCGAAUCUUUGAACGCACAUUGCGCCCUCUGGUAUUCCGGGGGGCAUGCCUGUUCGAGCGUCAUUUCACCACUCAAGCUCUGCUUGGUAUUAGGCCCUCGUCCGCCCCUCGUGGCGGGCGUGCCUCAAACCCUUCGGCGAAGCCUGUCCGGCUUUGGGCGCAGUAGAAUUUCUAAAACGCUCUGUGGGCACGGACGGUCCUUCCGCCGCGAAACGACUGGGGACUCCCUUCACGGGGGGUACCCGUCACUCUUUCAAGGUUGACCUCGGAUCAGGUAGGGAUACCCGCUGAACUUAA
rnacentral:misc_RNA from 1 species